rnacentral:lncRNA from 1 species
AUUGAUGGGAAACAUGGGUUGUUAGAACUUAGGUCUGUGAGUGAAAGUGAGACACUGGUUAAGGGUGUAUGGAAACUAGACCACCGUAGAAUAAUUAGGAUACCUUAUUAAAGCCAAAUUCAGAGUGUUAGGAUGCCUUCUGUGUUGGUAGGAUAGAGGGAACCUAAAAACCAGAGNUGACACGUCACUGAUCAUAGAGCAGCCCUGGCCUGGUCCAGUACGUUGUGACUAGUCAUACGUGUUGGUGACGAAGGUGAGUCUGCUGCGGUGGACAUCUGUUCCCACUCCGUUGACCAAUUGGGAUAAGAAGGUUGGAGAGAGUAAAAUCCCUAGGCAAGGAUCUGUAACUGAAAUUGGAUUGGAUUUGAGUUGGGAAGAGGGAAGUGUCAUGGUGAUUUUGGGCAUCUGUGGUAUUGGGGNN